CAUGGAUUGAGAAGGGCCAGCCAGGACUACUGAGGAGCCCACAGGGCGUGAUCUGCUUUUUCAUCAGCUGUCUGCUAAAAUAUGUACCUGGAUUUGCGCCAAAGUUUCUUGAAGGAGUUGUGAAAAGCAGUAUAAUUAAAACGAAAUUAGCCAUGAAUUUAUAAUUGUUAAAGCUAGGUUGGCCCUUCCCUAAAUUCAGAGACAGGAGCCACCAUGGUUUUUGAAUUCCCAUUUGCUCGUACCAUGUUGGAAACACAGACAGCCAACGCGUAGCAUUUCGGAAGUCUAGUAGCACUCACUUCAGCUCUUCACAUGGACAAGUUGUGGCUGGCCAAAAUCUAGGAUGGUUCUCCAUCACUCAGCAUUCAAGGUUUUCCCACUACCAUGUGGAAUUAUUUAUGACAUCUAAGAAACUAUUUAACCACAUUGGCAAUAUACAUUGACUACUACUCCUUUACUCUUCCCUGGAAAGACUGAAGAGUCCUCAGGUCUGCUGUCAUGUGAGACAACAGCAUGCAGAAACCCUCUGCAAGCCAUGAAGAAACCACACCAGAAUCUGAUGUUGUCAGACCCUGAUCUUGAACUUCCAACCUCCAGAACUUUAAGAAAAUAAAUCUCUGUUGUUUAAGCUGCACUUAGG